UCACCUGUUUUCCUAUAAAGUUAUUAACAUCCCACAUUGCCAUGGUGUACCUGUCAAAACUAAGAAACCAACAUUGCUUGUUGAUGUCUUUUCAGCUGUUUUUAAACAAGGAAGUCUGGAAUUGAGUACGUAAGCAGAGCUGAAUCCACGGCUGUGAAGAGGGGAGCUGGCCACCCUGUGCAGUCUGGAUUCUCCAGGCAGAUGGUGGACAUGAGAAAGUGGCCUGCACCCUGAGUUGCCCUUUGGUGGCCUCAAGGGAGUCCAAGUUCCCAACCUCUGUCCAACAAGCUGACACUCACAGCCUUCUAGAGAUAGUGGGUGAUGUCACAAUUUGCUCCCACAGGGGACUGUGAUGGGGUCAGGGGGAGAAGAAGAAGAAAUAACAUCUAUCAAAUCAGCCCUGCCUCAAAGUUCAGCUCACCCACCAGGAAUAAAACAUUUUCUACUGAAAAUGAAGAUAGUUUCUGAGUGUCCAGAUCAAAGACAGAAACAUAAUCUGUUGCAAAAUUUCUGCUCUUCUUGAGUUGCUGAAAGUAGUUCUUCCUGGUGCUAAAAGACUGCAGCUCCUUGAGAGAAGAGAAUAUGUCAGUUUUGUUCUCUGCUGUAACCUCAAUGCUGAGAGCAGGGUACAGAAUUCAGCUUCCACAUUUUUAUAACAAGGCUAUAAUACCUGUCUGAUGCAGCUAUUACAAAAUCUGAAGGAUAUAGCAACAAGGUACCAUCUUAGAAGCAGAUGCCAGACACAGCCCUCAGCAGGCACCAGAUCUACUGGCACCUUGAUUUUGAACUUCCCAGCCUCCAGAACUGAGCAAAUAAAUUUCUAUUAUUUGUAAAUCACUCAGU
rnacentral:lncRNA from 1 species